AAAACCCUUAGGGCCCCACGGGCCGUGCCUGAAUUCCACAGUGGGGAGGGGGCUGUUCUCAGAGGGGUUAGUGACCCUCCUUUCUCAGUAGGAGGUGGUCUUCAGGAGCUGGCUGCAGCAGGAUGCAGGGAAGCAGGGUGCUCUGAGGUGUUGGGGGGACGCCCUUCAGCUCCUCUGAGCAGCCCGGCUGGGGGCUCCUGCUGACCCUCCUCCCUGCGGUGCUGGCUCUGCACUGAUUCCGACCACUGGUCCCUCUGGGCGGCCACCUGUGGCGUUGGGUAGGAGCCCAGUCUAAAGCUUUCCCUAAUGUUCCGAAGUCACCUCUCUCACCAAAUGCCUUAACCUUGCCUCUCCGCCCCCAAGUCUUUAUUCUUCCUGGUUCAAGGGACUGCAGGGUUCUGCAUCACCAGGCGGGCAGAAGUAUGAAUGCUGAGACCACGAAUGUGUGACCCGAGGAGACUGGACCUGCUCUGCUAGCAGCGUGGACCUCAGCGUCCUUCCCCUUGGGCAGUGAGAGGUGGCUACCCUCACCAUCUGGCUCUGAGGGACGUGCAGUUCUAGGGCAGAGCGGGGCGUGAUCCUGGAACCGUUAACCCACUCGGUCACACGGUGGGGAACCGCAGCCGAAUGGCCUCCUCUGUGCCAGCCCCUGGUCAUGGCAAAUGAAAUGUUCGUGGCCAAUAUGAACUCACUGGGCCCUCACAGCGACCCAGUCGGCUGGUGUCAUGAAUGCUCCCCUUGUAUGGACGAGGAAACAGGAUGGGAGAUAGCGCUCCCGAGCGUCGGAGAUGCAGACCAGUGGGAGACGGCCUGUGACUCCCCCGUGCAUUUUUCAUCCAUCUCACCCUCUGCACGUGUUCCAAAGUUACUUUCAAAAUGCAAAGCGGGAGUCCUGGCUGGUGUAGCUCAGUGGAUUGAGCGCGGGCCUGCGAACCAGACAAUUGCGGUUCGAUCCCAGUCAGGGCACAUACUGGGGUUGCAGGCAGGUUCCCUGCAGGCCAGUUCCCAGCAGGGGACACAUGAAAGGCAACCGUACAUUGAUGUUUCUCUCCCUUUCUCCUUCCCUUCCCCUCUAAAGAUAAAUAAAUAAAAUCUUUAAAAAAAAAAUGCAAAGCGGCCUGUUCACUGGCCGACCUAUCUU